rnacentral:rRNA from 1 species
CAGUCGCCGCGGGAAUACGUAGGGUCCGAGCGUUGUCCGGAAUUAUUGGGCGUAAAGAGCUCGUAGGCGGUCUGUCGCGUCUGCCGUGAAAUCCUCAGGCUCAACCUGAGGCGUGCGGUGGGUACGGGCAGGCUAGAGUGCGGUAGGGGAGAAUGGAACUCCUGGUGUAGCGGUGGAAUGCGCAGAUAUCAGGAAGAACACCGAUGGCGAAGGCAGUUCUCUGGGCCGUAACUGACGCUCAUGCACGAAAGCGUGGGGAGCAAACAGGAUUAGAGACCCCUGUAGUCCCUGUCUCUUAUAC